GGGGAUAUAGCUCAGUUGGUAGAGUGCUUGCUUCACAUGCACAAAGCCCUGAGUUCAAACCCCAGUACCACCA
rfam:Ictidomys tridecemlineatus contig029689, whole genome shotgun sequence.